rnacentral:rRNA from 1 species
UACGGAGGGGGCAAGCGUUGUCCGGAAUCAUUGGGCGUAAAGCGCGUGUAGGCGGCUUGGUAAGUCCGCUCUGAAAGCCCGGGGCUCAACCCCGGGAGGCGGGUGGAUACUGACAAGCUCGAGUCCGGAAGAGGCGAGUGGAAUUCCUGGUGUAGCGGUGAAAUGCGCAGAUAUCAGGAGGAACACCAAUGGCGAAGGCAGCUCGCUGGGACGUGACUGACGCUGAGACGCGAAAGCGUGGGGAGCAAACAGG